rnacentral:rRNA from 1 species
GGGUAGUUUGACUGGGGCGGUCUCCUCCUAAAGAGUAACGGAGGAGCACGAAGGUUGGCUAAUCCUGGUCGGACAUCAGGAGGUUAGUGCAAUGGCAUAAGCCAGCUUGACUGCGAGCGUGACGGCGCGAGCAGGUGCGAAAGCAGGUCAUAGUGAUCCGGUGGUUCUGAAUGGAAGGGCCAUCGCUCAACGGAUAAAAGGUACUCCGGGGAUAACAGGCUGAUACCGCCCAAGAGUUCAUAUCGACGGCGGUGUUUGGCACCUCGAUGUCGGCUCAUCACAUCCUGGGGCUGAAGUAGGUCCCAAGGGUAUGGCUGUUCGCCAUUUAAAGUGGUACGCGAGCUGGGUUUAGAACGUCGUGAGACAGUUCGGUCCCUAUCUGCCGUGGGCGCUGGAGAACUGAGGGGGGCUGCUCCUAGUACGAGAGGACCGGAGUGGACGCAUCACUGGUGUUCGGGUUGUCAUGCCAAUGGCACUGCCCGGUAGCUAAAUGCGGAAGAGAUAAGUGCUGAAAGCAUCUAAGCACGAAACUUGCCCCGAGAUGAGUUCUCCCUGACCCUUUAAGGGUCCUGAAGGAACGUUGAAGACGACGACGUUGAUAGGCCGGGUGUGUAAGCGCAGCGAUGCGUUGAGC